rnacentral:rRNA from 1 species
ACGGGUGAGUAACGCGUGGGAAUCUACCCAACCCUACGGAAUAACGCAUGGAAACGUGUGCUAAUACCGUAUACGCCCUUCGGGGGAAAGAUUUAUCGGGGAUGGAUGAGCCCGCGUUGGAUUAGCUAGUUGGUGGGGUAAAGGCCUACCAAGGCGACGAUCCAUAGCUGGUCUGAGAGGAUGAUCAGCCACAUUGGGACUGAGACACGGCCCAAACUCCUACGGGAGGCAGCAGUGGGGAAUAUUGGACAAUGGGCGCAAGCCUGAUCCAGCCAUGCCGCGUGAGUGAUGAAGGCCCUAGGGUUGUAAAGCUCUUUCACCGAUGAAGAUAAUGACGGUAGUCGGAGAAGAAGCCCCGGCUAACUUCGUGCCAGCAGCCGCGGUAAUACGAAGGGGGCUAGCGUUGUUCGGAAUUACUGGGCGUAAAGCGCACGUAGGCGGAUAUUUAAGUCAGGGGCGAAAUCCCAGAGCUCAACUCUGGAACUGCCUUUGAUACUGGGUAUCUUGAGUAUGGAAGAGGUAAGUGGAAUUCCGAGUGUAGAGGUGAAAUUCGUAGA